rnacentral:lncRNA from 1 species
UAAUUAUUCAAAUUUUCAGUUCAAAUUUUACUUCCUCUGUGGGUGUUCUGAAUGCUUAAUUGGAUUCUGAGAUGGGGAAAAUGUCUAGGGCUGGUAAGAAAACACACAAUCAGUAGUUAAAGAAACUACUGUUAAAUGCAUUAUAUGUGGUGACCAAAAUUAAAACAAAUAGAAUGAAAAGGUAGAAGGGCUUUCAGCGUGGUCUGCUGUCUCUUUCUUUUUAAAUACAAAUGAGAAAUAAGGAACAAAACUUUUUUUAUUUUAUUCAGCACUCAGGAUGAUCAUGUAGUGUCCUUGCCCGUGGCAGGAGGGUUGGAAAUCGGUAUUCAAGGUCCCUUAGGCCCAAACCAUUCAGUGAUCCUGUCACGAUGGUGGCGUGCGGAAAGGCCAAAAUCCGCAAGGCUUUUAGAACUAGAAACCACCAGCGAUGGAGCGGUGAGGAGCCAGGCAGGAGCGGCGCGGGACCUGCGGCAGCUCCGGCUCUGCCGUGGGACAUCACCCGCUCCGUGGCGCCCGGCAGCACCUGGCGGCACCACACGUUUCAGAAGCGGAGUAAAAUAAAUCCACAGGACACACGCAAAGGCUGAGGCGGCGUUCCCGCGGGUGUCGGGCUGGCGGCAUCGCGCGGGCUCUCGCCGGCUCCGAGCUCCCCGCGCCCGGCAGCGAUGGCCGGCGCUAGGGGGCGCUGUGCGCCGCUCCGGCCCGCGCCCGCGGCUGCGGCGCCGGGGGCCUCAACGGCCGGGAUGGAGCCCAGCGGGCAGCGAUGGAGCCCAGCGGGCCUCAACGGCCGGGAUGGAGCCCAGCGGGCAGCGAUGGAGCCCAGCGGGCAGCGAUGGAGCCCAGCGGGCUGCAGUGGACCCCGUUGGGCCGCAGUGGAUCCCAGCUGACAGCAGCACACCCGGCCAUGGGCACCGCCUGCACGACGCUGUGUGUGAGGCGUCAGGGGUCACAGAUUCUGCCGAGUUGGAAGGGACCCACAAGGAUCAUCAAAUUUGGCAUGUCCUGAAAUAUCACAAAAUGAACCCAGAAUAGUCUCAAUCUAUCAGAUUGACACUCUUCAUUUAUCAAUUUUCAGAAAUAAAAUCUUUCAAGCGCCAGAGAAAUACACCAUGAGUGGGACUUUUAUCUGGGCCUUACUCUUAGUUCCACAAAUUCCCACCAGCAUUGGCAUUACUGUCUGCCAGACAGAGGGGAAUAAGUGAAGUUGUUCAACUUUGCUUUGUCAGUGUUGCAUGGCUUGAGGACCAUUUCAGCAGGGAAUGCUGGGGCUUCCACAGCAGGGUCAUCAGUAGAAUGAAUCACCCCAGCUUGACUGAAGACCUGGCAUUUCAUCUAGACCACAGAGAUGGAUUCAAAGCCAAGGAGGAAGCUUCCAUUUUUACAGGAGAUCAAGGGUGCUGACACUUUAAUGUUUUUCUGAAUUAUGCAGUAGAGACACAUCACCUAUUAGUUCUGACAAUGUACUGUGCUGUAAGUGUUAAUCUGCAUGUACACAGGCAGAGUGUCCAGCAUUUACAAAUAGUUUGUGAUAAACAUGACAAUUUGUGACUGAAGCUCAAAUACAUGGACUAAUUCAAAAUGGCAAAGUGGUCUGGUCCUUUUGUGAGAAAGAUGUUUUCUGUGUGUAAAGAAAAUCAAAUGAAAAUAGCACUGAUAGGUAUCUGUUGAGAUACCUAUAAAUACUGUGUUUGGUUCAUAUGAAAAAGGGGGUUUAAAAAUUCAGCAAAAUUACUUAUUCUCUAGUUUCAUUAAAUUACAAAUUUAAGACAUCAAAAAUGUAGAAUCUAAUAUUGUAUAUUUGAUUAUGGGUAAUUUGCCUAUGCUUUUUGAAUUAUUCAUGUACUUUCUUAAGGAAAGAAAGCUCAUGGACUUGUUUUCCUUAUUCACCUUCAUCAUCCCUUAUGCCAUUAUGAUUUUGAAGCCUUCAGGAGAUUUCAGUGAAAGGUGAUGAUAGAGCAGAGGUCACAGGUAGAUGACCCUGAAAGCUGCUUGAAAGUCAUUAGGUGGGAAAGUGCAAGGAAGCUGGUGUGCUGCUUGAGAGCCCCCAGGUGGGGCUCAGCCUGGGCCAUCCGGCCAGCCAGCACUUGAAUUAAACCAACUCACUCUUACCUGAGACCACACAAGGCUAUGGGCAGCUCAAGGUGUUGCUGUUGCUGUGUGUGAUGGGAGCAGCAGGAGGAGUUUGAGACACUGGAAAGAUUUGCUAGAUGAUUUAUAAGCUAUAGAACUUGUCUAAAAUACAAAUGUGUAUAGAUUGCAAGGUGGACAUUUCAUGCUUUGGAAUAGUUUUAUUCCAAAACUAGGAAAAUUUAGGGGCAUUUAGUGCCAUAUUGGAAUGAAGCCUGAAGGAUGUAUCCUUCACUUGCUUAAGAUGUGCCUAAAGACAGUGAAAUAUGUCCCUAAAGUCUUUAGAAACAACAUGGCUGUUCUCCAUGUUAAUUGAACUUUCAAUUUUUGUUUGCAUGGCAGGCAAAAACUGACAUUUGUUCAAAAUUACCUAUAAAUGUUUAAAAUCAAUGGUUUGAAUUCCAUCAGGAUGAACCUGGCUGGUUGGUCAAGCUGGUAAAAAGACACCCACAAUUAUUCCUAUUACACUGCAGCCAAAGCAGGCUGGGCUUGGUGUUUAAGGAGAAGGGGAAGAAAUGGCAAAUACUGCCCGGAAACUGAGAUGAGAAAACUGAAAGGGAAUGUCCUAAUGAAAGAAUUGUAGCUGGUCAGUAUUUUAUAGAGGCACAAUUUUUCUGUUCCUUGUUCAUCUGCUCACACAGUGAAGAGAAACUAUUGCCAGAGAGACUCCAGGAUAAUUAGGGACUAUGUGGGAUAGAAGUUUCUGAUAAAUAAUAUAUGAAUUGAAGUGGGAUUCUUAACUACCUCCACCCCAGAGUGAACAUAGUCAUGUAAUACAACUCACUUUUGCCAUCAGUGAGAAGACUAUUUACAUAAAACAUGUAUUAAAUAGAUCUACAGAGCUGGACCAACAA